GGCCCGCCUGUGAGGAAAGUCCGGGCUCCGCAGGGCAAGGAUAACGGGUAACACCCGCCGGGGGCGACCCUAGGACAAGUGCAACAGAGAUAUACCGCCUCUCCCGUCAGUGGAUGGGUGUGGGCAGCGGGGCUCUGCCGCCUCCGAACAGAAGGCGGACAGCUGUCACCGCUCCUGCGUCGAGGUAAGGAUGGAAAGGUGAGGUAAGAGCUCACCCGAUGGCAUGGAAGUGCCCAUCGCUGUAAACUCUAUCCGGAGCAACGCCGUGGAGGGACAUACAGGCUGGCCCGGCCGUCCCAGGGAGGCGGCUUGAGCGCGCCAGCAAUGGCGCGUCGAGAUAGAUGGCUGUCUUAAAAGACAGAACCCGGCUUACAGGCUUACUGCACUA
rnacentral:RNase_P_RNA from 1 species